rnacentral:rRNA from 1 species
AUUGAACGCUGGCGGCAUGCUUUACACAUGCAAGUCGAACGAGUGGCGACCGGGUUAGUAAUAUAUCGGAACGUAUCGAGUAUUGGGGGAUAACCAAUCGAAAGAUUGGCUAAUACCGCAUAUUAUUCGAGCGGCCGAUAACUGAUUAGCUAGUUGGUGGGGUGAAGGCCUACCAAGGCGACGAUCAGUAGCGGGUCUGAUAGGACGAUCCGCCCCACUGGGACGUAGACACGGCCCAGCCUCCUACGGUAGGCAGCGUUGGUGAAUUUUGGACAAUGGGGUCAACCCUUGUCCAGCCAUGCCGCGUAUAUGAAGAAGUCCUUCUGGUUUGAAAGUACUUUUGUUAGGGAAGCGGUACCUAAAGAAUAAGCACCGGCUAACUACGUGCCAUCAGCCGCGGUAAUUC